rnacentral:rRNA from 1 species
UACGUAGGGUGCGAGCGUUAAUCGGAAUUACUGGGCGUAAAGCGUGCGCAGGCGGUCUGUUAAGACCGAUGUGAAAUCCCCGGGCUUAACCUGGGAACUGCAUUGGUGACUGGCAGGCUUUGAGUGUGGCAGAGGGGGGUGGAAUUCCACGUGUAGCAGUGAAAUGCGUAGAGAUGUGGAGGAACACCGAUGGCGAAGGCAGCCCCCUGGGCUAACACUGACGCUCAGGCACGAAAGCGUGGGGAGCAAACCGG